rnacentral:rRNA from 1 species
AGAGUUUGAUCAUGGCUCAGAACGAACGCUGGCGGCAUGGAUUAGGCAUGCAAGUUGAACGAACCACUUCGGUGGAGAGUAGCGGAAGGGUGAGGAACGCGUGAGUAAUCUGCCCCCUAGUUGGGAAUAACAGUUGGAAACGACUGCUAAUACCGAAUGUGGCUUCAAUCCUGCAUGGGAUGGAGGCUAAAGAUUUAUCGCUAGGGGAUGAGCUCGCGUCCCAUUAGGUAGUUGGUGAGGUAACGGCCCACCAAGCCGACGAUGGGUAGCUGGUCUGAGAGGAUGGUCAGCCACACUGGGACUGAGACACUGCCCAGACUCCUACGGGAGGCUGCAGUCGAGAAUCUUGGGCAAUGCGCGAAAGCGUGACCCAGCAAUGCCGCGUGUGUGAUGAAGGCCUUCGGGUCGUAAAGCACUGUCUCCCGUGACGAAAUUUGACGGUAGCGGGGAAGGAAGCCACGGCUAACUACGUGCCAGCAGCCGCGGUAAUACGUAGGUGGCGAGCGUUGUUCGGAUUUAUUGGGCGUAAAGGGUCUGUAGGAGGUUCGUUAAAUACGAGGUGAAAUCCCGAAGCUCAACUUCGGAACUGCCUUGUAGACUGACGGACUAGAGUACCGGAGAGGUAAGCGGAAUACCAGGUGUAGCGGUGGAAUGCGUAGAUAUCUGGUAGAACACCAAUAGCGAAGGCAGCUUGCUGGACGGAAACUGACUCUGAAAGACGAAAGCAUGGGGAGCAAACAGGAUUAGAUACCCUGGUAGUCCAUGCCGUAAACGUUGUCAACUUGAUGUGGGGGGAUUUAGUCCUCUCCGUAUCGAAGCUAACGCGAUGAGUUGACCGCCUGGGGACUACGGCCGCAAGGCUAAAACUCAAAGGAAUUGACGGGGGCCCGCACAAGCGGUGGAGCAUGUGGCUUAAUUCGAGGCAACGCGAAGAACCUUACCAAGGCUUGACAUUGAGUGACCGCCAUAGAGAUAUGGCUUUCCCUUCGGGGACACGAAAACAGGUGGUGCAUGGCUGUCGUCAGCUCGUGUCGUGAGAUGUUGGGUUAAGUCCCGCAACGAGCGCAACCCCUAUCCUAUGUUACCAGCGAGUUAUGUCGGGGACUCAUAGGAGACUGCCAAGGACAACUUGGAGGAAGGCGGGGAUGACGUCAAGUCAUCAUGCCCCUUAUGUCUUGGGCUACACACGUACUACAAUGGUCGACAACAGAGGGAAGCGAAGCCGCGAGGCAGAGCAAACCCCAGAAACUCGAUCUCAGUUCGGAUCGCAGGCUGCAACCCGCCUGCGUGAAGUCGGAAUCGCUAGUAAUCGCAGGUCAGCAUACUGCGGUGAAUACGUUCCCGGGCCUUGCACUCACCGCCCGU